rnacentral:rRNA from 1 species
AUAUCAAUAAGCGGAGGAAAAGAAACUAACAAGGAUUCCCCUAGUAACUGCGAGUGAAGCGGGAAGAGCUCAACUUUGUAAUCUGGCUGCUUUGCAGUCCGAGUUGUAGUCUAUAGAAGCAUGAUCCGCGCCGGACCUUGGCCAUGUCUGUUGGAAAGCAGUGUCAAAGAGGGUGAAAAUCCCGUACAUACCAAGGACGACCGUGUGCAUUGUGGUCUGCUCUCUAAGAGUCGAGUUGUUUGGGAAUGCAGCUCUAAUCGGGUGGUAAAUUCCAUCUAAAGCUAAAUAUAGACGAGAGACCGAUAGCGCACAAGUA